GUCUAUGGCCAUGCCACCCUGAACAUGCCCGAUCCCAUCUGAUCUUGGAAGCUAAGCAGGGUCAGGCCUCAUUAGUACUUGGAUGGGAGACCACCCAGGAAGACCAGGUGCCAUAGGCA
rnacentral:rRNA from 1 species